rnacentral:rRNA from 1 species
UACGUAGGGACCGAGCGUUGUCCGGAAUCAUUGGGCGUAAAGAGCGUGUAGGCGGCCAGAAAAGUCCGCUGUGAAAACCUCGAGGCUACAACUGGGGAGGGUCACGCGAUACUGAUCGACUCGAAGGCAGGAGAGGGUAGUGGAAUUCCCGGUGUAGUGGUGAAAUGCGUAGAUAUCGGGAGGAACACCAGUGGCGAAGGCGGCAUCCUGGACCGGUAUUGACGCUGAGGAGCGAAAGCCAGGGGAGCAAACGGG